rnacentral:misc_RNA from 1 species
UUGGACCUUUCUACACAAAGUUAUAACUAUUUGAACAUGUACUGUUUAUAUGGUCAAUUUUGUCCAAUGACAGGGUACCUAAUCCGGAUUUAACCAAAUUUUACACCAACUUGUGGUCAGUUUUAGGGCAAUGUUUCUACAUGAAAAUUAUUGCUUUGUGUCUUAAUUUUCAUUUCUAAUUGGCCUCACACUGAUUGGAGCAACAGAAUUCAACUUAUAGCAUUCUAAGUGGACAGGGGUCAAGCUGUCUAGAAUGCAUUAAGUACCUAACCAUAAUUUCAAUCACUUCCAUUUCUCAAUUCACAUUCAUAAGCACUCUAAUUGACCAAUUUAAAGAUCAAUAAUGUCAAUUGGCCAUCAAUUGACCAAUCCCCAAUUUUCCCCCAAAACCCUAAUUGUAUAACCCUAAUUUCAUACACACAUGAAAAUUCAUGCCAUGUUAUUACAUUAAAUCUUCAUACAACUUCAUAUGGACAAGUUUUCUUCAUUAAUUCCAUCAAAUCACCACAAAACCUAAGACAUCCUAGGCUGGUCGAAAUUUUAACUUCAAUAUUCAUGCAUAAUUCUUCAAUUUCCUAGGUUAUUUUCUCAUAUCCAAAUGUAAUUUCAUGCAUCCAUAAUCAUUUGGGUUAGGGAGACAACUUACCUCAAAUGGCAAUUCUUGUAUCUUCAAUUUCUUCAAUCUUUUGUCCUCCUUUUUACUUCUAAUCUCACUACUAAGACUCAAAAUAAAUUAUUCUCUCAAGAAGCUAUGGAAAUUUUAGGGAAAUUUUGGUGAUUUUAGAGCUUGAAAUGCUCUUUAAUGGAGGAAAGAAGAGAUGAAAGAGAGAGAAAGAAUGGGACGGCAAUCCUAAUGAAGAAGACCCAAAAUUUUGUCUUUUUAAUUGUGUUUAAUUGUGUUUUAUUUACUUUUAUAAUUAUCCAAUAAAAAUGAUUUAAUUAAAUAAUAAUUAAAUUUGUUUUAUUAGGUCAUGCUUGCAUAUGCAUGAUGAUGUCAUAAAGUUUUUAUUUCCAUUUUGUUUUCUUUCCAUAACCUCUUCACUUUAAAUCUAAUUUUCAUAAAUUUAAUUUCUGACAUGUUAAUGGAUAUUUAGGCCAAAAGUCACUUCUAAGAGUGAAUUGACCAAAUUGCCCCUUAUCAGUCUGAUCUGUUUUUCCAACAGUAUUAAAUUGCUUCAAGAACUCUGAUUCAAUUAUUUGAACUCGUUCUU